GACUAGGGAGCUCAGUGGGUAAAGUCCUUGCCUGGCAUGCAUGAAGCCCUGGGUUCAAACUUCAGCCUAUUUA
rnacentral:tRNA from 1 species